AAUUCGCCUAUCAAACCCUUUUCUGUCACCAAUUUUGAAGAAUUUCGCCACAUUUAUUUCAUUUUCUGCAGAUUUUUUAAUAGGAACUUGAUCCACUCCUGAAGUGGCUUUAUUUAGUGGGGACCUUCUGUUUUUUUUUUUAUUUUGUUCUGGGUUUGUUUGUACUUUGUAGAUAGGAAUUUUUUACGAUAAGAGAUUUUCUUAUUAUAAAAGCUGUUUUUGCUAUUAUAUCAAUAACAUUUUCCCUCUUGUUAUUUCCGUUCGGGUUGCUUGUGUCACAUUGAUAUUUUUAUCAGAAGCUCUAACCACUCCUGCUUUCGAACCGCGUCAAAUCCUACUUGCACUUAUCAGACGGAUGAAUAUGAAAGCCACAGUAUUUUGAUAAGCCACCGUGACAUCACCUGAAACCCGCAGACCACUGAGUCAGGACAUCGACAUCUUUUUGAUUUGGCCGAACGCACACCGCAUAUUGUUUUAUUUUAAAAUCUGCAGAGGAGAAGUAGGUGUUAGCAUCAAAACUGAUUGCGAGAGACUUAAAGAGUUGAGCAUUCCCAAGUUCAAUAUGCGCGCGGUACGUGCGGAUUACUGCAUAAUUCAACGACAACGAGCGUCGAGUGCAAAUCGUUGCCUUGCUGUCACGUUCGAAUGUAAUUCAGUCUACUGAGAAAAUGAUGUUUGCAUUUCUCGCUGCUGCUGCUGCUGCUGCAAACAUAACAGACGGUAGAUUGAUUGACUGCUGAUUUAUUAAGAGUUCAAAUGCGUAAUGAGCAAAAAACUAUAUCACUGGUACGUCCGUCGCUCGCUUCUUGCAGCGCAACACUGCUUGAAGGGAUUAACUUCCACGGACAUUUUUCAUUCUGCACAGCCGGCUUAUCUCCUGUAAUCAGAUUAAAAAUAGGAAGACAAAGCUAUAAAACUCACUUGCCUUGAUUUUUACUUAUGGUGCGUACUUUCCUGAUAGUGUGUCUAUCUUCAUGGGUGAAAUUGCGAGCUGAUUUUCACGAAAUAUUAUAUGAUUUGUACAACUUUAAAAUUGCCCAAUUUUAUUUAUUAAGCUACAAGUUACUUUCAAAUUCUUGACAUAUAUUGCUCAGUAUUAUUAUUCUAUUUUAACGAUCAUUUCCCAGACCAUAAAAAUACAAUUACCUGGAAAUGAAAGACGGCAUUUAAACUUAUACCGUUAAAUUUGUUUGCAAAUAUAAUUUAAAACACUAAAAAUGCAACUAUCAUGUGAACACACUUACGAAAAAAAUUGAAAUCUUUUAUUCUGAUUCAUUGAAACCGAAAGUGGACCACGGUGGCUGAGGGCGGUGCGCGGUGUCUGGUCUCAAUAUUUUCGCCGCCAGUCGCGCUCUUGUUCAAGCGGCUCGCGUUCUAUAAAAACUCUAAAAUUAGAACCGCACACACUGGAGGUUAUUUUUGAAAAGAGCUUUCAUCUUGUACACAAAACUAUCGAGUUUCUACACGCCACCUUCGCUGCUGCGCGCGAGACUACUCCUCCGUCCUUAGGCCCGCUUGAAAAUCCGUCUUAUUUGCAUUGCUGAUUACGAUUUACUUUUGCAUUUUUGUUUGGAUGGAAUUACAAUUUUCGGCACUCCCUCUAAAUGGCAAGCUUGUCCCUGAAUAGGAAUACACUACUUAAUUUAACAGGUCUGAGGUCUGAUCAAAUGACUGAAUGAGUCGCUUAAUUGAGAAGGAAAACCGAGCGUAUUUCAUGCGUCUAGAAGAGGAAUGAUUUAAUUUAUCAACCAUAGAGUGGCACUUAAACUAUUUUAUUCAUUGGCACCGUGUACCGUUUUCAAUAAAAGAGAGAAGCAGCCCUGCGAGAAGUGGCCAGAAAAUAAAGAACUAAAUCACUGCGAAAAUUACUCAAACUGCAUUGCUCGGCGGAAGCGGCUUAAUUGCAGGCAUUGAAUGUGACAAUUAUUUCGAAUUGCCAGCCAGUCACGACCGCCAUCACUGUCCCAAUCAAAAUUUCUUGCUCGCAAGCUGCGCGUGUUUGACGAUUUUUUCCAGAUUGAAGUACGUUGUGCCUGCGUCCGGCGGCGGCGAGUCAUUAAACCGACGCUCUCCUCAAAAGGACAAACAAACGCGAGAGAGGCAGCUGCCGAGUGCCACUAAAACAUGAAUUAUUUUUCACCAACUUUUCUUGCCAUUCCAGUUGCACUAAACUUGAUGUAUGAGCGCAAUUUAUGGUAAAUCUGGCUGCAAGAAUGCCACACUAUUAAGCUCCGGACGGGUCGAGUGACAACAACUAUUGUGGAAAUAUGCGAAUCGUUCCAAGGACUUAUGCAUGACGGUAAAAAAAUAAACACGGGGCGCUCACGUCUCUCACCACGGCCGUACGAAACGGACAUUUCUUUUUAACAGACGGAAAAAAGCAUGAAGUUGGCGCUCAUUUGUGCAAUACAUGGAAUGCGUGCUUUUCAAGGAAAUUUCAUUUCUGCGGCCAAAAGAAGUGUCUUUUCAUAUGCAAAUCAUUCGAAUGGACCUUUCAAGGCGAGUUUCAGAUCAAAUAUGCACAAGACACAGCCGGUAACAUCUGUGCAUUAAAUGCCUAGAUUUUUUACACGCACUUUUUGGCUAGAUCAUGUCAGUUCACAUUAACACAAUUUUAUUCCAUACUAAAGCCGAAUUUAAAAACUCUCAGAAAUAAAUUCAAGGUAGAAAAAAUUGACGGUGAGAGACGAAAUGCAAAUCGAUAGAUACAAAACUUUCUCUCUUUUUUUAUCGCCGAUAUAAGUUUGUAUAGCAUUCCUUUGCACUCCGGUCAUCCCCCGCUCAAUCAGCGAGCAACAAACGCCUCGGAGUGCCGAAGCCCUGCUAUGCGUCGGCAUUACUCACACAAAAACGCACACCUGAUUACGCGAACAGGGGCUUACACAGUUGUUGAGUCACUUUCCUCACUCAGCACUGCCUUUCUCAUAAAUCCCAUUGACCACCGCAUGUAGCAGAAGGAAAUUCUUUCAAACGCUGCUAAUCUUGCGCACGUUAUGGAAUUUCCUACGGUACAGAGAGGAAGGACAACCUGUUUGACCAAAUUCCGUCUGUGAAAGGAGUCCCGUGUAAUAAAGCGUUUUAAGAUUUGAACAAGGAGCCACCCACGGAGGAGAGUCACGUGCCCCUUUGCAUUUUUUUGGAAGGCUUCCUUUUGUCGUGUAAAACAGGUUGAAUGACAUCAAUGGAGAGGAAAGGAAUUGCCGAAUGCUAUUACACGCGCUCAUCCUUUUAUUGCACGCUCGCGAGGCUGGACCGCUGAAACACGAUCUUAUGAUCAUCAAAUGGUAAUAGAAACCAGAAACCACCAUAGAAGACAGAUAUUAUGUUGGUCUUAAUAAUAUUUAUCUUUAAUGUGCCCCAUUUAUAAAAGCUGGCAUUUCUUUUAAUUAAGAGCCAGUUUCUAAAUAGCACUAUAAUUAUUAGUUAGCUUAAUACUAAUUGGUUAUUAACACUAUAUAUGACACAUGGCUCAGAAUAAUUUGUUUUUAUAUCAAAUUUAUUGUCUGUAUUUAAAUAGCUUGAAGAUAGAUGAUAGUUAAAAAAGAAAAAAGAGAAGUCCUUCUAAUUUUGAGUUUCAUCUUCCAACGAGUUGAAGGUUCUUGCUUUUAGGUCAAUGCAAAUUUGAUGCUUUAAAAGGAAACUUCAACAUUAUUCAAAUAUAUAAGUACCAAUAACAAGACCAAAAUUGCUUGAUGUGAAUAAAGCGGCAUCUACUUUGCGUAGAAAUUUAGCAAAUUUUAAUAAAAAAUUGUUCUGCCGCUUUCUAUUUAAAUGCACGCAAUCCUUUUACACAAUUUCGCAUAAAAAUGCUAGUUUGUAAUCUCCUACUUCAACCAUUAAAAGCUCUUUUUUGGCUCACUUCGAUUUGAAUUUAAAUUUCGAAUAAGUGGCAGAAUAUACCAGAUGGUAAUUAGAGAAACCGGAGGUAGUUGAAGCAAAUUAUUUUUCCGUGCGCCGAAGCGUAAAAAUUCCAAAAUAAGGAAGCUGAUUCGCUUAAAAAUAGUAAUAGCAUCUCCAUAAAACGUUCAUAAUCCUUGUUAAUUGCACCGAGGAACGUAUUUAAAUAUAUUUACAUUCCACUCGCAUGGUCAUUCGAACGGCAGAGCAGAGAAAUUUUAUAUAUAUUCAUCCGUGCGGAUGUCGUUGGUUCGAAAAUCAUGUGGGACGAAGUUACAUACGCUGCUGACUGCGAUGGCAUUCCUCGGUCGUGAUUCAAUAAAUUUACGCACGCUUGCCAUUAAUUUCUUUUUUGCCCGUUCACUUUAAGUGAAAAUAGUGUCGCUUUGAUGUCUGGCUUUCUCAGAAAUCACUUGAUUAUUCACUUUAACACGGCAAUUAAAGCGCCUCUUGUUUAUCGUUUGAUUACUCACAGUAGAAACUCCCAGUCCCGUGUAUACAAGUGGGUUCACAUUAGCAUAUAUAAUGUCGUCUGGUGCGAACUAACGCGAGUUCUCAGGUGUGGGCUUGAUUGAGCUCUGCGAAAAGGGUGCAUUGGAAGGAAACAACAGUUUGAAAUGUUCGAUCUAACGAAUUAAAUAAAAAAACCAACUGAUUUUUUCUGUCGUGUGGCGUGGACUGUGUUACAAACGAAGGUUAUCAAUCUUUUAACAAUAAUCUGAUUUAAUCGGAACGAAUUGUCAGCCCUCUCUGCAAUUAAUUUUUCUUCCAAAAUGACUUCUGAUUUUUUGUUUAAUAAUAUGACUUUAAAUCCAAAUUCAGUUUCAGCUCUCUUAUAAUUACAGCGGAUUGUUUGCAGUCUCUACGGCGUUAAUGCCAAAGCCAAAAGAGCGUUCCAGAAAUAAGCCUGCAGCGUAAUCCCACACUUGGCCGUCGUAAUCUAAGCAUAUUUUCCCAUCCUGAAUUCAUUCAUAAGGCUGAGGAGUGAAUAAACUCGUGAAAAUCACGUCAAACAAAUAAUGGUGCAGGACCACAAACGUAUUCCAAGAGGCGGUGAUGCUUUGGCCCCUGGCCAGGAAUGCAGCUCGUGUUGAAGGGUGCCUGCCGCCAGUAAAAAUAGGCUCUCUCGAAAUAAAAAACUAUAAAGGUGAGGGUGAAGGUAGAUUCAAGAUCAAAUCAAGAUCUCUGAAACGGAAUUUGAGGUGGUCGUGUUUGCCAAUGCAGCGAGGAGCGUGAGAGAAUCUGUAAAGAAACCUGAUGCUGCGAAAAAAUGUGAUUUGAAAUUGAUAUCAUUAAUACCAGAUGGUUUGAAAACAAUAGAAUAUAUGAAUACGAAAUGAUUUGCGUUUAUUCAUGCAUUUAAAUAGUUUUUAUGUAUUUCAACGACUUUUUUAGAAUAUUGAUUUAAGAAUAUUCUUAAAAUCAAAGUACCGCCCAAAUGUUUGAAUUAUCCCACCAAAUAAGGCUUUGGAAAAAUAUAGGAAGAAAACUCUAGCAAACAAGUUGAAAAGUGAGAUAUAAUAGUUAAUAAAGUUGUUGUGGUAUCCAAUGAAAAACAAACCUGUUUAAGUUAGAUUUGGUUUGUUUGUUUGAGUUCUCUUUCCAAAAAUUCUUAAAAGGUCAUUAUUGGUUAUUUAAGUAAAUAUCUAAAAAUAUGUGAGAUAUUUUAUAUAAAACAGAGGAAAAUAUGAAAUAAUAUAUUCAAUUCAGGAAUUUCAUCAGAAAUAAAUCUUGAUAUUUAAUGUUCAUUAUUGAGCAGGAAGCAUGCACUUAAAUGGACUUUGAUGUUAAACAGGACCGUGACUUUUGAUGCCAACCAAUUUACUGAUCUUUGAGUUGUGCAUCCGGCGCGUGUACCGCUCUUUUCCAUCUCAGAAAUCAAGAAAAAAAUGCAUCUGUGAUAGACAGACAAUUUAGAACCCAUCACAAUAGCUUCUCCGUUUGCUUUAACUUUAGUAUCAUUGCAUACAUCGACUAUUUUACCUCAACACCAAGCGGCCUGUCAAAAAUCUCAACUGAUCGUUCGCAGAUAAACAAGGAAAGCGCAUGCCUACACACACGCAACUCAAUUAUGUUUUGAGUUUAAGUCAUGAAGUGCAGUGAGACUUAGCUUUUGCAUUUAUUUACGUGUCGAGUGGUGCUUUCAUAAUACACCAUUGUAGUUCAGGAUCAAGCCUUGCCUCUCUACAACUAAGUCUCUUUUUAAAUGAGCCCUUGUGAGGAGAGUUGAGAGACCUAGCUCACCAAAUUGAGACGAUGUUUCAAAUUAGUUUCCAAUUAAGGUAUGACUUGAAGCUAUUUGGAUUGGAAACCUUCUCAUCGCAAUCACUGAAGAACAUCAGGUUUUAUUAAAAAACAAUUAAAAAUAUUGAAGCUGUUCACAUUACCUAUUGUUAAAUCGACAUUAUCAAACCGUCAGAAAUUCCGAAUUCCCAAAUAUAAAAUAAUUAUGUAGGAGUUAUUGGACACUUUAUGAGCUGGUGUCCGAUGUAAAUGAAUACACCUUAACAAAUGCAAAUUUUAAAGCUUGUAAAAAUAUGUUUUUGGGAAGCAAAAUCUAAGGCAGCUCACACAAUGACUCAAGUAUCACUUUUGUUGUUUCGGUACAAGGUUCUCAUGGGUCAGUGUCCCGCACACUUCUUUCUCUCUUUCCUUUCCAUUUCUCCCGCACGCGCAAGCAUAACGAAGCGUGUGUGAUUGUGCAUCGCGUGCUCUAUGUGUGUGUACAGACAAGAAUGUUAAUCCUCAAUUGUGUGGGCGCCUUCAAUUUAAUUUUACAUAUAUUGUGUGUUUGGACAGACACUCGGCGAGCAAGCGCGCGCGCCGCGUUGAGAAAAUUAUGGGUUCUCGAGUUGGAAUGCGCACACGAGAUGAGAUUUCGUUUCAGUUCACAUUCACUGCAUCAAUGUGUGCGCGAUCAUAAUUGAAAACUGGUUAACGACGAGUCACCAAGUGUGUCCCUUCACGUUGAAUAUAUUUAUUUUAUUGGCACGCUCGUUUUUCGUCCCCGCUCGCAGACGUCGAGCAAAAAGCGACGGGCAGCUGAAAUUUAUUCGGAAUGUUACACUUUCAUAGUCGCAAUUUCAUGUCCGGCGCUUAAUUUAUGUUUCUGCAACACAUACGUGAACUUUAAAAAAUUGUUUGUUGCACGGAACUUACAACCGGAGCGCAUUUCCAGAUGCCGUUUUCACGGCAACUCGUCGUGAGUUAGACUUGCCCUUAUCAUAAAUAAACGAAUGUAUUCUGGUGUACAUAUUUAAAAACGAAGUGGAGUGGCUUGUUUUGGAGAUGUUAAUAUUCACUAAGUGGAUUCAUUCAGUGGUGGUUGAUCAAAAUAGCUUCAUUUGAUUAUGUUUUCUCCGCAGUAAGCAACAGUAACAGCUAAUUCACAGCAUUUUAAAAAUUAUUAAAUUCAGACAAAGAUUCCUUGACCAACAUUUAACUCAGGAUGUGAUACCGCAAAAAAAAUGUGGAUAUUUUUUCCGCUGAGCACAAAAUUCGUUUAUCAUUAACACUGUUUCCUUGGGAAAAAUGCAUUCAAUUUAAAUUGAAAACAAGCUUUGUAAUUUCCAGCCUUCAUAUCUGCGUGAACGUCGAGAAAAAUUAAAGUGAGGGCUGCCUACAUUCAAUAUUUCACGGACGCUUUCAGUUUACAAUGAAAGUGGUGUCAAUGCUGUAAUCGACAUCCUGCGAAAAACGCCCUAAGCCGCAACUGGUUAACGCAAGCGACCUCAACAUCCGCCACAGGAAACUUUAAGUGCGCGCUCUCAAUGCGAAAUGAUUUUAAAAUCUCAGCGAAGCAAACCAUAAAGCUCGCCGUAUUCGUGGACGAAUGCGGGGCGCGAAAGAGAUCAGGAUGUGAAUUUGGAGCACGUCAUUUAAGUAGAUGUUUAAUAUUCUUGAAAUAGACACCACGUGGUCCGAAAUACACGUUCGGUGGCGGAGGCGAGGCGAGCAACCGAAAAUGCGUCAGCGGCAGAAAGCACAUAGGCGGCAGCGUGCGAGAUUUUUUUGCACCCUCGUAAUGAAUCUACUAUAUUUGUGGCGCACUGCACACAUGUAUGAUGCCACGCUGAAACUCGAGAUUUGUAACCACUGGCUGCCUCGCAUCAUGCACGCCAGCUGCCCUCCUUGCUUGAAAACAAAACAACAUUAAUGUUGUAUUUCGAAUUAAAAAAUUAAUAUCCAAAUUUUACAAUAAAAAUGCUAACACCAAAAUGCCACUAAGUAUUUUUUAUAUUCCGAUUCCAAUUAAAAAAUAUGGAAUUCGUGUCCAUUAAUGCGAGUUGUUAAUCUAUGAUUGUUUAGUAUUUUGUGAGUGAAAUUUUCAAUAAUCGUGUAUGUUAGAGGAUUCGUAGCAACUGGAAAUCACUUAAGAUGUUCAGAGUUACGUGCUCUCCAUGCUGAUACACAGAAUUGGUGCAAUUCGUCCAAUAAAUCUCAAAUCGAAACAAUUGCUGCAAGAAGUGUCGUUUACAAUCUAUUGUUCCUCCUGAGACAAUGUUAUCGCAAUCAAAACCACUUUCCACGCCACAGCCUGCCCCGGCUAGAUUGUAAAUAUUGUAUCUUCGGCUCUCUUUAGGAACAAUUUAAUGAUUCUCAUAAAAGGAUUUAAUAGGAAAGUAAAACACACGGGCCAGGGUGCUGGCUGGCGUCUGGUACUUCGUCUUGCUCUCUCGCGAGAAUUUCUAUUUCGAGAGGGAGCAUUUUGAGCGAUGUCGACACUCGCGACUGCCGCGAGCAUGACAUCACUUGAGGACGAAAGCGCGCAGGCAGAAUGAAUGGUGGCUCUUGUUGGCUCAUCUCGAUGCGUGCUCACUCUCUCGCGAAUAAAACCGAAGCUUAUCUUGGCACUUAGCACAAGAAGUUGCGUCUGACCAUUGCAUCGUCAGGCAGGAUGUACCUACCAUACGUACACACACGAUGACGAGAAACUCUGCACUUUUAUUUUCUUUGCUAAUUGACCGAGCAGUGCGGUAUUGAAUAACACACAAGAACGCGCUACGUGUUUGCGUGCAUCACAAGGCCAUUUUCUUCUCCUCAGGCUACCGCCAUUGGGUACGCAAACGUAUUUCGAAACUGCAAUCUGGGAAAUUAAAUCUUCUGAUUGAUAUAAGAGAUAUUGGCAUUUUUAAUUGUGAUAGAACUAUGCAUCGGAUGUAUGUAUUUCAUCUAGAUAAAAGUUUUAAUUUAAAUAUAAAUUAAGCACCCCAUCAAAAUAUUAUUUUCCAAGUCAGAUUUACUAUUUUUGUGCAUUAUAAUCGGAUUAAAAACUUAUUAAUAUUGGUUCUGAAUCCAAUUUAGUUUCAAAGUAAUCUUUAUUAUGGUUCUGCAGGGCUAUUUAUAUCUAUUCCGAUUCAUUAAAGUCAAGGUGAUAUAUUUUUCAUUAUUCAAAAGUUAUUUAUUUGGAAGCGAGUCGGUCAAACAUUUUAAACUUUCACAUUAAUUAGCCGCUAAUUUGAAAUAUUUUACAAAUUUCACGGACCAGAUUAAUAUUGAUCGCAC